UACGGGGGGGGCAAGCGUUGUUCGGAUUUAUUGGGCGUAAAGAGCGUGUAGGCGGCUAGGUAGGUCCGUUGUGAAAACUCGAGGCUCAACCUCGAGACGCCGAUGGAAACCAUCUAGCUAGAGUCCGGAAGAGGAGAGUGGAAUUCCUGGUGUAGCGGUGAAAUGCGCAGAUAUCAGGAAGAACACCCGUGGCUAAGGCGGCUCUCUAGUACGGUACUGACGCUGAGACGCGAAAGCGUGGGGAGCGAACAGG
rnacentral:rRNA from 1 species